GACGAACGCUGGCGGCGUGCCUAAUACAUGCAAGUAGAACGCAGUUGCGAACGGGUGAGUAACGCGUAGGUAACUGCCUGGUAGCGGGGGAUAACUACUGGAAACGAUAGUUAAUACCGCAUCCUAAUAGAUGGACCUGCGUUGUAUUAGCUAGUUGGUGGGGUUACGGCUCACCAAGGCAACGAUACCUAGCCGACCUGUGGGGGGGAUCGGCCAAACUGGGACUGAGACACGGCCCAGACUUCUACGGGAGGGAGCAGUAGGGAAUCUUCGGCAAUGGGCGGAAGUCUGACCGAGCAACGGCGCGUGAGUGAAGAAGGUUUUCGGAUCGUAAAGCUCUGUUGUAAGAGAAGCGGUAUCUUACCAGAAAGGGACGGCUAACUACGUGCCAGCCGCCGCGGUAAUUC
rnacentral:rRNA from 1 species